GUUGUCGUGGCCGAAUGGUUAAGGCGAUAGACUAGAAAUCUUUUGGUAUCUUCCCGCGCAGGUUUGAAUCCUGCCGACAACG
rnacentral:tRNA from 1 species